CUGACUGACCGAUAGUGAACCAGUACCGUGAGGGAAAGGCGAAAAGAACCCCGGCGAGGGGAGUGAAAAAGAACCUGAAACCGUGUACGUACAAGCAGUGGGAGCCUCUUUAUGGGGUGACUGCGUACCUUUUGUAUAAUGGGUCAGCGACUUAUAUUCUGUAGCAAGGUUAACCGAAUAGGGGAGCCGAAGGGAAACCGAGUCUUAACUGGGCGUUAAGUUGCAGGGUAUAGACCCGAAACCCGGUGAUCUAGCCAUGGGCAGGUUGAAGGUUGGGUAACACUAACUGGAGGACCGAACCGACUAAUGUUGAAAAAUUAGCGGAUGACUUGUGGCUGGGGGUGAAAGGCCAAUCAAACCGGGAGAUAGCUGGUUCUCCCCGAAAGCUAUUUAGGUAGCGCCUCGUGAAUUCAUCUCCGGGGGUAGAGCACUGUUUCGGCAAGGGGGUCAUCCCGACUUACCAACCCGAUGCAAACUGCGAAUACCGGAGAAUGUUAUCACGGGAGACACACGGCGGGUGCUAACGUCCGUCGUGAAGAGGGAAACAACCCAGACCGCCAGCUAAGGUCCCAAAGUCAUGGUUAAGUGGGAAACGAUGUGGGAAGGCCCAGACAGCCAGGAUGUUGGCUUAGAAGCAGCCAUCAUUUAAAGAAAGCGUAAUAGCUCACUGGUCGAGUCGGCCUGCGCGGAAGAUGUAACGGGGCUAAACCAUGCACCGAAGCUGCGGCAGCGACACUAUGUGUUGUUGGGUAGGGGAGCG
rnacentral:rRNA from 1 species